CACUUAAAAUGAUCAGUUUCUCGGAGUUAACUUUUUAUAGGUUCAUGUUUGAGUAAAAUGGACACUGUUCUUUUAUUCUAUGAACUACUGACAACAUGUCUCCGAAAUCCCAAGCAAAAAUCUAGCAUUUAUGCAGAAAAUGAGAAAUGGUCAAAAUGACAAAAAGAUGCAGUGCUUUCAGACCUCAAAUAAUGCAAAAGAAAACAAGUUCAUAUUGAUUUAGAAACAACAAUACUAAUGUUUUAUCAAUAUCUGAUGGAAUAACCAGGACGUUUUCAAUAGGGUUCAGUGCAGUGGUCUCUUAAUUUUUUUCCAGAGCUGACAAAUAGUAAAGUAAAUAUUGAAGAAAGUUAUAGAUCCUUCUUUCAGUUUUAAGUAAGUUAUAAUACUCAAAUUGUUAAAAAACAUAAUUGUUUCCAUAUGAGAUCUUAUCCAGCCAGUGUGUAUAAUUCUGACACUAUGCGUGUGAAAGAAAAUGUGCAAUGACUUGACUCAACUUGUUUGAUGUAAAAUUGUUCUAAGCUGGAAAUAGAGAAGCUUAAGUGCAAUAUUAAAACACAAAAUUUAUAAUAACAAUAAUCUCUGAGUAGAAAUGAAAGCAGCAGAACAAAGAAACCGAGACCCCUGGCUGUCACACCAGCCAUAAGAUCACCUUCUCUGACUCAAUAAUGGCAGAUGUUUUUGCAUAAUUGAUAAACUUUCAGAGAACGAAGUCACAUUUCUCUGCUCUAAUGACCAGCGACUGACGCGAGUUCAUUCCCAUGCGGCGCUGAUGCUGAGUGUGCACUGAAACAUCCUGGGAGCAGCUACUCCUGACCCAACUCCGGGUCUGCACACUGAUGGAGGAACAUGCCAGACAUACAUGUGUCUUCCAGGAAUCGCAGCAAUGUGUGCACACGUACACAGUGUGUGCGACACAUUCUGUGAGGCUAAUACUUCAGAGCAAGGUUUCUCUUGGACCUAAACUUCUUCAGAGUCCUUCACCAGCAGAGCUGUGAGACGGCAGAGCAGACGGCAGACUAAACGGCGAGAGACGCUCUGAAGCUAUUUUUGAGACGCAAGAAGAGGCAGCAAUGAGUGUCUGUAAGCAUCUCCUCCUCUUCCUCUCCCCCGUCACUUCAGCCAUUCUGUAACCAUAGAGACCGCUGGUGGCUGAGCAGAGGUUUCUCUCUGGCAGACAUGUUGGUGUCAAAUGAGGUGGCUGGAUGGAAGCAUGCACACAAAAGCACAAAGCUCCAUUUAGAGACCGCCCCCCUAAUUUUUCUGCGUGAAAGCUCUCUUUUUAAAAUUGCACUGUACCUCAGGAACAUAUGACAGCAUGUGAAAUCCAGUCACAUUGAUGCUUGUCAGCGAACGAAGCUGUAAUGGCUUUAUAAACACCAGAAAGGUUGGGAGCAGAAAAUUAAGAUUUUAGGACUUAUUAAAACACCGGUGCACAAACUGUGAGCUGUGAAAAGAGCAACAAGGGUGAGGAGGAAGUAAAGAAAAAAUGUUAGCAUACAAGCAGCACCCUCCACAUUUAUUGGUGGCCCAGGCAGAUAUGGAAAACACCACAAGCAGAACUCUGCUCUGCAUGUUUACAUAAUGUCUGGUAACAAAGAACACCCUCAGCUUGGCGAGGGACGAGGAUCUCCAGUAGAAUGCAGAUAAAAAAAAUCACAACAAAGUUUCAGUAUCAGACUCAGAGAUGAACAAGUCUUCCUCGGGUUAUCUGAGCCACUUCUACCCAAAGAAACCCCCACAUUUCCUGCUUUACAGGAAAUCUUGAGAUUUCCCAGACCUUGACAAUAAAACUCUUGCUAUAGGAAAAUGUGUGUUUGGAGCCAUUCUGUUGAUUUAGUUAAUAUGUCUGGUAAGAAAUUUAGGCUUUAAAUUUUCAAACCACAAACGUUCAUUUGAUAGAUCAUGAUUGAAGUUAUCUUAUGGCAUUGAUACAAUAUUAAGACUCAUUUGUCCUUAUCAUUGAGGAACAGUGUUUUGAUUAAACUUUUACAAUAUGAACUGAUGUCCAGUUUUCUGUCAAAUCAGGAUCUGAAUUAAUGUUAAACUUUUGAAUGUCUUUAGAAACGUUAAAAUAAGAUGCUUAGUCACUUCACUGUUGGUUAUUCGUGUGUUUUAUCAUUUAAACUUUUUUUCUGAAUCUUCAUACCACAAAUUUCAUCACCAACUUAUUUCUGCUAAAUUAAAACAUAAUUUUGAUGUUUGAUCAGUGGAACCUUAUAAAGUAUCAAAUCCCUGUUAUUUUAUGGGUUUAACCUUACUUACUCCCUCAGAUGUUUUUCCAUGUAAGUUUUACUAAAAUGUUUAGUCAGUCUCAGAAGUUUCCUACCAUAAUAAGACAGGUAUGAUCUCGAAACAGUAGGUUGCACAUCGAAACACAGCGGUGAUACAUUCAGUCAACUUUAUUUACUUGUCUUGCCUCCUUUGGGCAGCUUGGCUCUGUAGCUCCCCCCACCCUGUGUAGCCUUCCAGCAGAGCAUUUCUUGAUCAGUGACUCAUUACAAGGAAAAAAAAAAAAGAAGAGAGAAAAGCUU